GCCUGGAUAGCUCAAUCGGUUGAGCAUCCGACUUCAGCUCAGGUCAUGAUCUCUCAGUCUGUGAGUUCGAGCCCCACGUCAGGCU
rfam:Felis catus isolate Cinnamon breed Abyssinian chromosome B4, whole genome shotgun sequence.